UACGUAGGGUGCAAGCGUUGUCCGGAAUUAUUGGGCGUAAAGAGCUCGUAGGCGGUCUGUUACGUCGGCUGUGAAAACCUGGGGCUCAACCCCGGGCCUGCAGCCGAUACGGGCAGACUAGAAUUCGGUAGGGGAGACUGGAAUUCCUGGUGUAGCGGUGGAAUGCGCAGAUAUCAGGAGGAACACCGGUGGCGAAGGCGGGGUCUCUGGGGCCGACAUUGACGCUGAGGAGCGAAAGCGUGGGGAGCGAACAGG
rnacentral:rRNA from 1 species